AUUGAACGCUGGCGGCAGGCCUAACACAUGCAAGUCGAGCGGAGCGGCGGACGGGUGAGUAAUGCCUAGGAAUCUGCCUGGUAGUGGGGGAUAACGUCCGGAAACGGGCGCUAAUACCGCAUACUAUCAGAUGAGCCUAGGUCGGAUUAGCUAGUUGGUGGGGUAAAGGCCUACAAAGGCGACGAUCCGUAACUGGUCUGAGAGGAUGAUCAGUCACACUGGAAUUGAGACACGGCCCAGACUCCUACGGGAGGCAGCAGUGGGGAAGAUUGGACAAGGGGCGAAAGCCUGACCCAGCCAUGCGGGGGUGGGGAAGAAGGUCUUCGGAUUGUAAAGCACUUUAAGUUGGGAGGCGUUACCAACAGAAUAAGCACCGGCUAACUUCGUGCCAGCAGCCGCGGUAAUUC
rnacentral:rRNA from 1 species